rnacentral:lncRNA from 1 species
GUUAAGAAACAAUGCCUUUCAUACUUUUGUAGCUGAAAGGCAAGAGGAUACAGGAUGGAGGUUAGAAAUACACAGCUGCCUAGUCCAAUUCUUGUGUAGAUACUAUCAUGUGAUUAAAUGAUUGAGAAAAUUGCCUACUACUUCUCUUUAUUUUUCUGUAUUUAGUAGGAACAUGACCUUUUCUUUUUGAUCCAUAAUGAGGGAGAUGAAAAGAAUAUGAGACAAUAUAUGAGAAAGUGAAAGGAAAGUACAGUGUCACAGUAGGCUAAGAAUCCACAUAAUUAAAUGCCCACUUUAGUUUAUCAUUCAAGAUCCUUCAUGAUCUUGCCAAUCUGUUUUCCCAACUAUAUCCCAUGUUAUCUCCCUUUGUAUAUAGUUCCAUCCAAAUACACGAAAUAAAUUGCUAUUCUUCAAAUGCUUUGUUCUUCUAUCUGUACAUCUAUUUUCAUGCUGCUUUCUCUACCUGACAUUCUGUGUCCCAAACUGUUGCUAUUUAAAUUUGACUUAGCUUGCGUUACCUGAGAUGCACACACUGAGGCAAGCUUUUAAGGUUGAGUAAUUUAUUAGAGAAUAAAAGUAGGAGAAUGAUUAAGUGAAAGAAUGAAAGAAAGGUUACUUUGGAAGAGCAUGUUAUCAAGAACAGCUUUCAGUUCCAGGACCUAAAUGAAGCAUAAUCCCACAGGAGAAGCUCUUGAAGCCCAGACAAGCUAUUCUACCUUAGAGUUAUUCUACCCAAGGGGCAAGGGAACUAAAUGUUUAUACACUUAACACUUCUCAGAUAUUGCUUGAGAGUUGUUCCUAGAGACAUUAAUUUCAGAAGCUUCCAAUCUGUUGAAACUUGUGCAUGCUUCGCGAAGUUCUUGUGUUGUGUUUUUCAGCUCCUUCAAUUCAUUCAUAUCCCUGUCUAAGUUGUCCAUUCUUGUUAUCAUUUCCUCAAAUUUUUUUCAAAUCUUUUUUCAAGGUUCUUAGUUUCUUUGCAUUGAUUUAGAACAUGUUCUUUUAGCUCACAGAAGUUUCUCAUUAUCCACCUCCUGAAGUCUGAUUCCAUCAUUUCAUCACACUAAUUCUCUGUCCAUCUUUGUUCCCUUGCUGGUGAGGAGUUUUGGUCCUUUGUAGGAGGCGAGGUGUUUUGGUUUCGGUAUUUUCCUCAUUUUUGCACUGGUUUCUUCCCAUCUUUGUGGAUUUAUCCACCUGUCGUCUGAGUAGUUGCUGACUUUUCGAUUGGGUCUCUGAGUGGAGGCCCAGAUUGUUGAUGAUGAAGUAUUUCUGUUACUUAGUUUUCCUUCUGCCAGUCUAGCCCCUCUGCUGUACGACUUCUGAGGUCCACUCCAGGCCCUGCUUGUCUGUGAUACACCUGUAGCAGCUGCAGAAGAGUGAGGGAUGCUACCAGUUUCUUCUUCUGCUACCUUUGUCCCAGGAUGAUGCCCGCCAAAUGUCAGUCUGAUCAGUCCUUUUUUAGGUGACUCUUUGGAUAUACAGGGGUCAGGGAGCUGCUUGAGGAGAUGGUCUGUACUUUAUAGGAGCUCAAGUGCUGAGCUGUGAGCUCAGUGGUUCAUUCAGGGUUGUUAGGCAGGUGCGUUUGAGUCUGCUGCAGCAGAACUUAUAAAACCCCCUUUUUUCCUCAGAUGCUCUGUCUCAGGGAGUUAGGGCUUUCUUUAUGAGUAUCUGUUGCAGUGUCCUGCCCAGCUAGGAGGCAGUCUAGUCACAAUUUGCCUGCCGAGGCUCCACCCUGCUACCGUGGGGUCUGCCCUGCUGCCUUGGGCUCUGCCCUGCUGCCGUGGGCUCCGCCCU